AUUGAACGCUGGCGGCAGGCCUAACACAUGCAAGUCGAACGAGUGGCGGACGGGUGAUUAAUAUCUGGGAAACUGCCCCAUGUAGGGGGAUAACUACUGGAAACGGUAGCUAAUACCGCAUACCAUCUGAUUUGUCCAUAUGGGAUUAUCUAGUAGGUGGGGUAACGGCUCACCAAGGAGACGAUCCCUAGCUGGUCUGAGAGGAUGACCAGCCACACGGGAACUGAGACACGGUCCAGACGCCUACGGGAGGCAGCAGUGGGGAAUAUUGCACAAUGGGCGCAAGCCGGAUGCAGCCAUGCCGCGUGUAUGAAGAAGGCCUUCGGGGUGUAAAGUACUUUCAGCGAGGAGGCGUUACUCGCAGAAGAAGCACCGGCUAACUCCGUGCCAGCAGCCGCGGUAAUAC
rnacentral:rRNA from 1 species